UGUAAUUUAAUACAAAUCUCUGGUGGCAACCCUGCCUCAAGUAGCCCUGCUGAGGCUGCCAGUCACAGACUCCUUCUCCUUGCACGCUGCACCAGGCCACCAUGGCAGACCACACCAAGGCAUAGCACCGCAGCAAAGUCAAAGCAUUAUAGACUGACUGCAGCCUCCAUUCUGCCGCACCACUCAGAGAGAGGAGAUAGGACAGGGUUGGAUGGGGUGACAGCAUUUGCAGUUUUCUUUUAGCUCUCGCUACUCUAGUUUGUAAGCAAUACUCAAUAAAUUAUGUUCAUCUCUCUACAUUAAGUCUGUUUUGCCCAUGACAGUAAUUGGUGAGCGACAUCCCUAUCCUUACCUCAACUCGUGAGCCUUUUUCAUCAUAUUUUCAAUGCCAGUUCUUUUUAGGAAUGGGAAUGAGAAAGCAGUAUGGUGGAACUGAGCUGUCAGAGUGACACCACUCAGCUGUGGGCCUUUGUGUAGCCAGGUUGGGCAUGUCACAGGCGAAUCAGACAGCAGUAUCCCAGCAGCUUCAAAACAUCUGCUGGUCUGCAGCCGUGCUAAGAUUUAUGGCGCAGGUGCCACCCAUGCAAUCAACAUUGCCCUCAGGUCCCUGAGCUACCUAUUCUUUUCUCAAGUUCUCUGUUCUUCUUUAAACACAGCUGUGUGCUCUGUUUUUUACAUUUCUCUUCCCUCCUUCAUUUUCAGUUAUUUACACCUAGAUCUUGACCUCAAAUGUCUCCCUGGAUUGUGACUUUGAGUUACUCCCAUAAGUCCCCCCCAGCUCUUGGUUUCACAAUCAAUAUCACAGCACAUUGGUGCUCACUCAGAACCCCUCCCCGUGCCAAACCAAGCCUUAACUUCCUGCUGGAUCUGGUCCCAUACCACAAGCCCUGCUCAAGAACCAGGCAGAGCUGGCAGACUUGUUCGUGCCUUGGUGAGAUGCCUCUGGGUAGCAGGGCCUCAGCAAGAGAUGCUGUGUCAAGCAAAUGGUGACGCAGGGUGCAGGACACCAUGUGAAGCCAGAGAUGGCUGCUCCAAGAGGAAGCGUCUUGCUGCUGGUCCUGAAGAGACUCCGAGGACUUCACAGGAUAAUCCUGUGCUUUCCUGCCCUUUUCCUGAGGAUGAAGGAUUUGUGUGAGGUGACUGUGAGGUGUGGAGGAAAAGGAAAAUCCUCAAGUGAAAGACAGGGCUUUUGGAAGUCAGAAUAAUCUCGUUUUGCUGGUAAUUCCAAAAAUAACUGAAUGACACUAAGAUGUUUUUGCGACUACUUAAAAUGCUGUUCUUUACACCUCUGUAUGUUUCUCACUGUUUUCUGGCCUCACAGCUAGAGAUGGCCCACACCAACAGCAUGCUGCUGCCCUCUCCCUGCGCUACUUGGCCUCUAUGCCUGCAUAGCCUCUACAGUAGUGCCACAGUGCCCCAAGAAAACUCCCUGUCUGAACAGCAGGCUUCACUGACCCUCUGAAGAUACCUUUCUCUGUUCACGAAUAAAGCCAAAGCUUGGUGACUACUGGUGGAUGAUCUACAGCUACAGAGAACAGUCUGGAAGCCACCUUCUCAGACCAUGAGGAUGAAUCAUUCCGUGGCUAUCAUGAAUCAGGGUCCUGUGACAAGUGCCCUGAGCUCUUGCAAACAUACAUCAAAAGGGAGCAGCAUGAGGUGAGAAAAUAUUAAAGGCUAUAUGAGAUCUAUCACCAUAACAAGAUCCCUGAAGCAGUCAUCCUCACCUCUCCAAUACCUUUACUUAUCUCUGCUUCAUGGACCCAACCACUCCAGCCCAUGUUCUGCACAACAGGUUCCAUGAUCUUGGGUACCAUCAGCAGGCUGCAGGACUUAUUUUGUGUCUGAGUAUCAGCAAGACUCCAUCUGGAAUUUAAUCCAGCAUGGUAUCUCUGCAAUACCUGAAUACCCCAUGCAGCCUAACACCAAAUACAGUCAGUGGUAAGCCACACAUUUUUUUUUCUACAGAGGCUGUCAGAAGCUUAGCAAUGACAAAGAUCUACACUGUGGCUUUGUGGCAGCAUUCACCAAUAGUUUUUGGGAGGAGGGUAAAGAUGAACACUACUUUCACAAUGACAAAAUGAGAAUAAUUACUGGUUCUAACAUUGCUUACAAAAGCUUUUUCCUGAGACAGUAAUUGAUCUGAGAAACAGAAGCUGAACCACCAAGAGAACUGACCCAAAAUCCCCAUAAGGGAACAGACUAUACACCAGACAAUCUAUGACAAAACACAUCUAUAAUUCAAGCCAGCACAAAACUACCGUUAUCAUAUUAUCUUAAUAAACAGGCCAAGGGAAAAUAGAUCUGCCUAUAACCACACCUUACACCAUCCCAAAAUUUUUCAGCUGGCAUAUUCAUUGUGCACAUUUGUUACAGCUGUUCAUCAGAGCCUGGCCUCAUUGUUCUCUGGACUUCUAUUUUCUGUGCAGAUCCACAUCUUUUAGCUCUCCUUUUUCAGCUUAGGCAAGAAAAACAACCAUUUAGUGAGUGUCCAUGUUCUACUUCUCUUCCUGGGGAGUGACUUGGAGAUCAGAUCUUACUAAUUCAAUCAUUAACAGGCAAGAAUUCCUAAAGAUGUUGCCUGGGUCUGUGAGUUUGCCAGGAACACUACCACAGGCACUAAAACAUUCUUUGUUGUACGAGACACUUCUGCCCUUCACACACACCUCUCAGAACUCACAACAGGGUUUUCCUCCUGAUGUCUUCUCUUGGUCAAGCAGAAGUGCUUGUAAAGAACUUUUAGUGUUUUGAUCCUGUAACACACAACAAAGCAGAUGGAUGACUGAAAUCAUGGUAUUUUAUUUAAUUAGCAGAUUGGUAUAUCUCAAUGAUGUAGUGGGGUAUUAGCACAGCACUUCACCCAUCAUCAUUUGCCAUAGUCUCUUUCAUUGCACAAGGCAAAGAUUUAGGUGUCUAAGUUCCUCUGUAUCUUAUGCUUUUGGAGACAGACUAAACUUGUUGAGAGAGUAAGGCUAUAAAACCACCUCACAGAGGAGAAUAGGAAGAAAAAGACUGAGAACAGAAAGACAGCGUAAUUGCUCUUAUUUGAAAAACAAAAGCUAACAACACGAUGUGAAGAAAAGGAAUUAAAGAAGUACUGGCAUUGUUAAGUCAAGAACUUCAAAGUUAAACAAUUAUGUUUGUCCAGCCCAUGUGGGCCAGUAGCAAUGGGAAGGGCCCUGUGACUUUUGCUGACCCAGUGCAGAACUGCACACCAGUGAUACCCCAGGUCCAGAUACCCAGGCCACCAGUUACCCACCUGCCUGUUUAACAUGGGUACACCUCUUUCCCUUUGGACAGACUAGCAGGAUGAACUAGAGAAAGCGAGUUCUUGUUCUGAGAAGGAAGCAUCUCAGCCCAUUGCAUCCCUAAAUGCACUGGUGAGGGAGGUCUUGCUCUUGGAUGAACCUUAAGAUUUACUCACCCCAAAACAGCACUGAACUUAUUCAGAUGCUUAUUUUUAAAUGAGAUUUAAGUCUAUUGCCCUUAAGCAGUACUGGAAGUGAGUGGCCAAUUCAGGACAAUCAUUAGUUUGAGAUGACUGUUCCCCCAGAAUUUUUAAAAUAUGCUUUACCACAUUCUGCGUGUAUUUUGCAAAUCAUCUCCACUGCUUAUUUUUCACAGACAAGUGGGAAACACCCCCAGUCUGAGGACACACUGAGACAUUUUUCAGAUACAUGAGGGUUAAAAUAAUAAAAAUGAGUGCAUAUUUUCUCUUCUUCCCGCCAACCACAGACUUGAAGCUGCUUCAUGUCACUCCUGUGUCUUUUUCCCUUGCCAUCUGGUCUAGCUCUUAACUCCUCAGUAUUCAAAUCAAGUGGCUUCUUCCUUCUAGCUGAGACAAGCUGGGGACCAGGGACCGGGAGCCUUUGCCCUUAUGAGUCAGAAAGGACCAAGACUACUCAAUGUCAAGAGAGCUUCAGGAAAUUUUGACAUUCUAUUUUAAGACAACAGUUCUGAGUUACUUGUGAACGGUUCAAAUGUAGGACAUUUUUAAUUAGAAAAGUAGUAUGUUUGUUAUAAACUCAGAGGCCACCCGCUGCUGGUUUCUUAGGCCUCUGACAUGCAGGGGCAAAAGACUGUCUGAAAGAAAUUAACAUCAGAAUAUUUUUAGCACUGCAAACAAGCUCAUUUUCAAUCCCUAAUGUUAAUUUAUUUCUUUCAUUUAUCUAUUCUGGGAUUUAAUCAACUGUCCUGUUUUGUUUUGUUUUUACUAUCCUGUUUUAUCCUCCUAGCCUUAAGGAACAAUAGACUUUUAAGUAUUUGGAGCAGACACUGUGUGAUGCCUUUCAUGAGGGACUGGCUCAGGAUUUUUACUUUUAAGGUUUACACUACAAGCAAAGCAGUCUAUUUUGUAGCAUUGCGUAGUUUGGCAGGAGAUCUUGUGUUCCUUGUAUGUGUGCAAAGUAUAUGGGAUCUUGGAUGUCUUUUCUGGCCAAGCUCUUGAUGUUCUUAGUUAAUAGUAUGUAGUAUGCAUUUGCAGUGAUAUGUGCUUAAACUAAGUAUAUAUAUCCCUGCUGAAAUACAAUUGCUUUCGGUGUGUGGUCUGUGGAGAACAGCAGUUGAAGUUUGGCCUCAGUGCACACAACUAUGACAGUAAAUGGUCAUCUACACAGUCCUUUUCGAUAUCAGAAUGUACAACUCCUAAGAAGGCUCUCAAAAACAAAACAAAGAUCUGAAGAUAUUUCCAGCUCUCAGCAGAGUCAGUUUACAGUAUUUAACUACGAAGAUUAGACAGACUGCACUUGACACUGCUGGGAACUGACAGAUGUUUUUGGAAAAAAAAAAAAGUGAAAAUCAGCUAAAAGAUUCCCAGUUGUUUACUACAUUGUUAAUAAAAUGAAGCUUCAAGAACACUCACAAAGGAGAACUGGGAAUUACCCGACAUUUUCAAAGUUGUUAUCCACCUAUGUUCCUGUUCAUACUUAUAAUCAAAUCUACCUUAUGUAACAGAAGGAAGAGAGUUAUAGUCUGCAACAUUAGCCAGUGGCUCAUUUCUAGCAAUUGAGUAAAAAUGACAUUCAUGACAUUCUCUUCAUUACAAAUGAAGAGAAAUAGCACAAGAAACCAUCUGGAAGAUCCAGCCUGUACAGUGGGUAACUUAAAUUCACAAGGGAAUGCUGCUUCAAUCUUUCCACUUGGUAUGAGAUCUGUUUGACUAAAUCACCAUAGCUUCCCUCAUCAGAAAUCCAACUACUAACUUUUCUAGUUUAUUAGUAAUUCUGUUCAUAGUUCACAUGCAUCUACUUGCCUAAAGUCACAGAAUGCACAGAUAGCCAGGAACUGAACUGAAAGCUCUGAAGGGGGCUAAAUGCAAACACAGGGUAACAGAGGAGGUUGACAGCUGCUAAUGGGGCAGAAAGAUGCUCCACACAAUAUACAGCAGAUCUGUACCAUCACCCACUAAACCAGCCUGGUUUUCUUCCCAGAACUGUACAGAAUUAAGCAAGAGGAGAGCCAAAAUGAUAUCUAAACACUUCCUCUUUGAGGAAUAAACAGUGAAUCCAUGCAGAUAUUAAUGCCUGUCUCUUUAGACUGCUAUUUCUGUUGAUGAGGAUGACUGAUAAACCUCCUGAGAAUUAUCUUUAAAACUUUCAUGAUUUUUAACCUCACAUGUUUUCCUAAUGUGGUCAAAUCUUCCUUAUUUUACUCAAGACUUACUUUCUCUAUCCUACUUACAGUAGAUAAAGGAAGGGGGGAGAUGUGGUUUCCUUCUUUGAAGCAGCCCUUUAAGCACUGAAUACCAGUAUGCCUCCCUUAGUCAUCCUUUUUGAUUAAGUAGCUCCAAAAUGUCAUUUAUUUCCCAUCUUUUCUCAUAGGUCACAUAUACCAGAAGCUCUUUCAUUGCUUGCCUCUUCUCUGAAUUAUGUUGAAACAGCCCACAUACUUAUUAAAGCUAUGCUGCACCAACUAAAUAGUACUGAAAAGUGAAAAGCUUUCAUGCACUCUUCAAGCUAUGCUUUUUGUUUGUAUGAAUAAGGAUUUGUCACUUGAAUAGCAGCAGUGCUGUUGAUGCAUUUUUAUGUUUUCACAAAUUCAAUCCUUGUUCUGCCACUUAACCAUUGACUCUCCAACAGCACGCGACUGACUGUUCUUUGUGCUCAAUUCAAUUAAAAAUCACAUCCUUUAUGCAUCCUGUA